AAAAGAAACAGAAACAGAGAAAAAAGAGAAAGAAGAAAGAACGACAGACGAAGAAGACGCGUUCAUCUCCUCUCUCUCGUAAAAAGUUUUUGCGUUUGUAUCCUCCGUUUUUAUGCGCGUUUAAUGUGUAUUACAUCUGACUCUGAAUUUGUGU
rnacentral:ribozyme from 14 species